UGGUACCCGAGGCCGGGCCGGAGCCGCAGGCCAGCCGCGAUUCCUUCGGGCGAUGCUGGGGGCUUUCCGGUCGGGGCCGCAGCCGCUUCCGGAGCCGCGGGCGAGGUGCAAGCGGUCUUCUCUGUCUUCUUUAUGGCCAGUAAAAUUCUCCAGAAGAGAUUUAUGGCAGCCUCACUCCCAGUAGUUUCUGCAUUUAGUGAGAUAAGGAAUGGAUUUUCUUCUGUGUAUUGCUGACACGAACAGGAGACGGAAAUACUGAGUAGAAGAGGGCGGUUCCCUGGCUAAGGCCCCACCCUCAAGCCUGGAUACCCGCGGCCCUAAAUGAGAAGAGGCGUUUCUGUUUGGGGCCCAAAAAGUUGCUUUUUGACCCACCACGCCCCCUAUCCUGCCCCCAUAUAAACCCCAAACCCCAACCUCCAGAGCAUACCAGCAGGUGAGGAGAUACGAGGCAAGCCGACUGACGGCAAAACGACGUAGCAGAGAAAGAGAGAAGAGGAGGGACGUCUGGACACCGAGAGAUGUUUGGCUCGGGGCAGUCAGAGCGGAGUCCAGCCCCUGGGCGGCCCAACUCCAGGGGAAGAUCACCUUCCCACUUCAUCCAUCCCCACCCUUCCAGCUCCCCAUCCAUCCUGCUGAAAGCCAUUUCCACCACUCAAUAAAACCUCGCAUUCAUCCUUCAAGUCCGUGUGUGACCCGAUUUUUCCUGGAUUCUGGAAAAGAGCUCGGAAUACAGAAAGCUGUCCCCUGGUCCUUUGCCCUUGUGAAAAAGCAGAAGGUCCAUUGAGCUGGUUAACACUCCAGCUGUCUGUGGUGGCCAAGCUGAAAGAGCUUUGUAACACUGGGGUUGCAGGCACCCACCUCUAGACGCUACCGCAGAGCCAGAGCCCAAAGCCCUCACCCCGGCCUCUGCACUUGCCCAUCUGCGUGCUCCCCCUCUCGCAAGGGGUUUCUGCAGAGGGGGCUACUGAACAGGUGAGCCACACCCCUGUCGCACGCCCUGCAAGGGGAAUCAGGGAACUCUUCCGUUUCAUUGCUUUGACCACAUCCUAUAAAUCUUGUUCUCCUUGUCUUUCAGCUCCAAUUUGUUUAUACAUUCAGUUUUUACUUUUGACUUUACUCAUGAUUUAUUAUAGAAAGAUGUUUAACAAUUUUCAAGCAAAUGGAAUAAUUUUUGCUCCUCUUUCGUUGUUAAUUUAUUAUUCAUUGGAGUUAGAAAAUUGUUGCUAAAAUAAAUUCUGCAUUUUGAA
rnacentral:lncRNA from 1 species